UAAGCACUUUAUUUUCACAUUAUUUUCUCAGUGAACAGCACAGCCCAGGAGCUGAUGGAGGCGGUUCUGGUGACUCUAGAUCAUUCUGCCUCUGUCAGUGGACAGUACCUGAUGAAACUCUGCGACUCAGAGGAGUAUCUCAGAAGCGAUGAAAUCCUGGGAUUAUAUGAACGCAUCCAGGUGUAUCAGAAGUUUGCUUUGGAUGUUCCAGUGAGGAUGGUGCUCAAGGACUCCGCUGACAAAACACCGACACGACAUGAGGAAGACGACCGCCAGAUGUUUCAUUUUAAUCAAGUCCUCGCUUCUGCUUGUGCAUUCAGCACUUUAAGGUCGGGUCUGCAGGAGAAACUGUGCAUCUACAGCCAGGCA
rnacentral:lncRNA from 1 species